AUGCUGGAGGAGAAGGAGGAGGAUGGGAGAGAGAGGGAGGCACUGAGGAGAACGGAGGUGGAGAGGAGCAGGAGGCUGGACAACAAGCUGACGGAGGUGGAGGAGGAGAAGAGGAGGCUGCAGGAGAAAGUGAGGGAGGUGGAGGAGGAGCGGGAGGAAGAAAGGGAGGCACUGAGUAGAGCCAGGGAGGAGAGGAUGAGGCUGGAGGACAGAUGGGAGGAGAGGGAGAAGGAGGUGCAGGAGCAAAGAGAGGAGCUGAGGAGGACAGAGCAGGAGAAGAGGAGGCUGGAAAACCAACUGAAGGAGGCGGAGGAGGGGAGGAAGGGAGAGGAGGAGGUGCUGAAGAUGGUGAGGGAGGAACUGAGGGAGGAGCAAGAGAGACUGGUGGAGGCAGAGAGAGGUCAGCACCUCCUGGUGGAGGAGGAGAAAGCAGGGCUGUCAGUGGAGCUUAGGAGGAAGGAGAGGGAGGUGACUGCACUCAGAGAGGAGAUAAUAAAGGAACAAAGGGAGAAGGAGGAGAUACAGGAGGAGCUGAGGAGGACUAUGAAGGAGGUGACGUUCUUCAAAGAGGAGGUGACAAGGGAACAAAGGGAGAAGGAGAAGAUGCAGGAGGAGCUGAGAAGGAGGAGAGAUGAUGUGACAGGCCUCAGAGAGGAGGUGAAAAGGGAACAAAGGGAGAGAGAGGAGGUACAGGAGGAGCUGAGAAGGACUAAGAAGGAGGUGAUGGCCCUCAGAGAGGAGGUGAAAAGGGAACAAAAGGAAAUGGAGGAGGUACUAGAGGAGCUGAGGAGAACUAAGAGCGAGGGGGAGGUGUCUGCACUGAGAGAGGAGGUACAGAAGGAACAAAGGAAGAAGACAGAGGCACAGGAGGAGCUGAUAAAGAGGAGAGAGGAUGUGACAUCUCUCAGAGUGGAGGUGCAGAAGGAGCAGAGGAGGAGGCAGGUGAUGCAGGAGGAGCUGAAUAGGACCAAGAGCGAGUUGACAGUCUUAACAGAGGAAGUGGAGAAGGAGCAGAAGGAGAUGGAGCAGGAACAAGAGACGUUAAUGAAGACAGAGGAGGUGGAAGCUCUCAGAGAGGAGGUGCAGAAGGAGCAGAGGAGGAGGCAGGACAUCCAGGAGGAGCUGAGAGGAGUGCAGCAGAUCGUGGAGGUGAUGGUGGAUGAACCUGAGCUCCCUGCAGACUCAGGUGUCAGAUGUGAGUCGGAGCAGGGAGCGAGCUCUGGAGGAGAAGCAGGAGGAGGUGCAGCAGCUCAGGGAGGAGAGGGGAGAGGUGGAGGAGCUGAGAGCCAGAGCCAAGGCCCUGGAGAGGAGGAGGACAGAGAUGAUGGAGGAGCUGCAGAAGGCCCGACGGGAGAAGGAGGAUGCUGAGGAGCAGUGGCGGAGCAGAGUGGAGGAGGAGCAGGAGGUGAAGCUGAAAGCUCUGUCCAGAGAAGUCCGGACCCUGAGGGAGAGAGAGGAGGAGAAGGAGUGGAGGUCCAGGGUGGAGGAGGCGGAGGAGACGGAUGGACUGAGGAGGAGAGACAGAGAGACGGACAAGGAGGAGAAAGGAGGAGGAGAG
rnacentral:lncRNA from 1 species